rnacentral:rRNA from 1 species
GACGAACGCUGGCGGCGUGCUUAACACAUGCAAGUCGAACGGUGAACCUGCUUCGGUGGGGGAUCAGUGGCGAACGGGUGAGUAACACGUGGGCAACCUGCCCACUGGCUCUGGGAUAACUCCAAGAAAUUGGGGCGUAAUACCGGAUAUGACCGCUGACCGCAUGGUCUGGUGGUGGAAAGAUUUAUCGGCUGGGGAUGGACCCGCGGCCUAUCAGCUUGUUGGUGGGGUAGUGGCCUACCAAGGCGACGACGGGUAGCCGGCCUGAGAGGGUGACCGGCCACACUGGGACUGAGACACGGCCCAGACUCCUACGGGAGGCAGCAGUGGGGAAUAUUGCACAAUGGGCGAAAGCCUGAUGCAGCGACGCCGCGUGAGGGAUGAC